GAUGAACGCUGGCGGCGUGCCUAAUACAUGCAAGUCGAGCGAACAGACGAGGAGCUUGCUCCUCUGACGUUAGCGGCGGACGGGUGAGUAACACGUGGAUAACCUACCUAUAAGACUGGGAUAACUUCGGGAAACCGGAGCUAAUACCGGAUAAUAUAUUGAACCGCAUGGUUCAAUAGUGAAAGACGGUUUUGAUGUCACUUAUAGAUGGAUCCGCGCCGCAUUAGCUAGUUGGUAAGGUAACGGCUUACCAAGGCAACGAUGCGUAGCCGACCUGAGAGGGUGAUCGGCCACACUGGAACUGAGACACGGUCCAGACUCCUACGGGAGGCAGCAGUAGGGAAUCUUCCGCAAUGGGCGAAAGCUUGACGGAGCAACGCCGCGUGAGUGAUGAAGGUCUUCGGAUCGUAAAACUCUGUUAUUAGGGAAGAACAAAUGUGUAAGUAACUAUGCAUGUCUUGACGGUACCUAAUCAGAAAGCCACGGCUAACUACGUG
rnacentral:rRNA from 1 species